rnacentral:lncRNA from 1 species
CUAGCACAUCAAUGUCCCGCAUGCAAAUCUCCCAUUCAUCACCAGAAACUGAUUCCUGUUUGUGCAACAGCCGGCGGUUCUUCUCACUCAAUACCAAUUUAUAUUUCAGGUUCGUUUCGUAGCCCUAAAUCAAAUCAAACCAAACUAAAUUAGUCAGUUUACUUUAAUUUGUUUCAGUUUACAUCAAAUUAUAACUUAUAAACCAUAAUUACCAGGCACUGAAAUCCCUAGCCGUCCAACGCGGCAAAGAUCAGAAAUUUCUCCACCUUGUCGAUCUGGUGCAAAUAUUUUCAAUGGCAGCCAACUCAGAUUGAUUGCAAGGGAAUUUCCGC